GAAGAGAAGGAGAGACCAGGAGAGAAACACUGGUGUCAGGACAGUGAUCAACAUCGCCAGAGGUCGCCAGCUACUGCUACACGUGCCUGAAAUACGAUAGAGAAAAAAUUUCAAGUAUCAAAAGCACAAUAUAUUCCUAUCAAUAUGGGCAACCAUCAAUCCACUGCA